AGUGAACGCUGGCGGUAGGCCUAACACAUGCAAGUCGAACGGCAGCACAGUAAGAGCUUGCUCUUACGGGUGGCGAGUGGCGGACGGGUGAGGGAUACAUCGGAAUCUACUUUUUCGUGGGGGAUAACGUAGGGAAACUUACGCUAAUACCGCAUACGACCUACGGGUGAAAGCAGGGGAUCUUCGGACCUUGCGCGAUUGAAUGAGCCGAUGUCGGAUUAGCUAGUUGGCGGGGUAAAGGCCCACCAGGGCGACGAUCCGUAGCUGGUCUGAGAGGAUGAUCAGCCACACUGGAACUGAGACACGGUCCAGACUCCUACGGGAGGCAGCAGUGGGGAAUAUUGGACAAUGGGCGCAAGCCUGAUCCAGCCAUACCGCGUGGGUGAAGAAGGCCUUCGGGUUGUAAAGCCCUUUUGUUGGGAAAGAAAAGCAGCAGGUUAAUACCCCGCUGUUCUGACGGUACCCAAAGAAUAAGCACCGGCUAACUUCGUG
rnacentral:rRNA from 1 species